rnacentral:rRNA from 1 species
UACGAAGGGGGCUAGCGUUGCUCGGAAUCACUGGGCGUAAAGCGCACGUAGGCGGACUCUUAAGUCGGUGGUGAAAUCCUGGAGCUCAACUCCAGAACUGCCUUCGAUACUGAGAGUCUCGAGUCCGGGAGAGGUGAGUGGAACUGCGAGUGUAGAGGUGAAAUUCGUAGAUAUUCGCAAGAACACCAGUGGCGAAGGCGGCUCACUGGCCCGGUACUGACGCUGAGGUGCGAAAGCGUGGGGAGCAAACGGG